rnacentral:rRNA from 1 species
GGGGGAAUAUUGCACAAUGGGCGCAAGCCUGAUGCCGCAACGCCGCGUGUACGAUGAAGGUCUUCGGAUCGUAAAGUUCUUUUGCAGGGGAAGAUAAUGACGGUACCCUGUGAGGAAGCCCCGGCUAACUACGUGCCAGCAGCCGCGGUAAUACGUAGGGGGCUAGCGUUAUCCGGAUUUACUGGGCGGAAAGGGUGCGUAGGUGGUCUUUCAAGUCGGUGGUUAAAGGCUACGGCUCAACCGUAGUUAGCCUCCGAAACUGGAAGACUUGAGUGCAGGAGAGGAAAGUGGAAUUCCCAGUGUAGCGGUGAAAUGCGUAGAUAUUGGGAGGAACACCAGUAGCGAAGGCGGCUUUCUGGACUGCAACUGACACUGAGGCACGAAAGCGUGGGUAGCAAACAGG